GGUGUGAUUAGCGUCAGCAUGCGCCGCCCUUGCACGGCGGAUAGCAAACACCAGGUUCAACUCCUGGUCACCUCCC
rnacentral:tRNA from 1 species